rnacentral:lncRNA from 1 species
UCAUAGUCCUUCCCUGUGAAACCUGUUCCCCCACAACCUUCUCUGAAGAGUGUUUCCUGAUUUCUGAAAUAUUCCCAAAGGGAGACUGUGAUACCAGUUCAUUCCUGGAAUGUGGGAAAAGUGACCCCUCAACUGAAUGUGACAGCAGCUCCUGGGAGAUUCUGCCUACUGACUCAGAGGAAGAGAAACUCCAGGCACACAAGAGAAGUGCAGAACUCUUGGGAUAUCACCAUACCAGACAGAAAUCACCCCCCAAGUCCAGUGACGACACCUCUGGCAGAACUAACAAGGAAAUGGUCCCGUGUCACCAGAGGAGAGAGGAACCAGUAGAGCAAAGAGACUCUAACAGAAGAGGUAAC